GCUGCCCCUCUGCUAAGGGUGCCGGCAGAGUGGGACCAGCCUGGCCUGGGCCGGCCAGCACCUCGGGGCCCACAGGUCGGGGCGAGAGGGGAGGUCGCGUGAAUACUCCCAGGAACGGGGAGUUUCUGCCUCAGGGCUCCUCAAGCUCACUGGAACCUAUUUCAUUGUUUUUACCCUUAUGAAAUGCUCUCAACAGCUGCAACAGAAAGAAGAAAGGAAGUGUUUAGUAAUAUUCAGAGAGUCAUGGCCAGGACAAGUGGCCUGCAUCAUCCCUGCCGCAGGGGGAAGAGACUCGGCAGGGUGUCCUUACAUCCCUCCCGUGUCUAGGGCGGCAGGACGCGUUUGGCGGUCACACCGGCCACGCGGGGUCCUGGUGAGGGGACGGACUUCCUGCCCUGAGUCCCCGCGGCCCUGGCCCUCCUGUGUGCCCCCCUCAGGGUUUAUGAUCGGGCCUGGAGACUUGAAGACUGGUUUUGCAAGGCCGCCGAGGGACACUGAGGUGCCGAGGGACACUGAGGCAGCAAGGAAGGUAAACCCCAACACCUGUGCUGACGCGGUCCAGCUGAGCUCAACAACCGAACCGCGGUUCCGUGCAAGCCUCCUCCCUAGGCGCUGGGGAGACGCCGACCUGGGCACAUCCUGGAAGGAGCUCCGAGGCAGAAGGACCGGGGAGAGCCGAAUGGUAUUUCCUUCCCUCUUUGGGGUCCUGAGAGGUCUGAGAACCUGGUGAAAGUUGUGGGUCCUCCCUCGCAGAAAAACAUGGGUAUGUGCACACACACAGGACUUUGCAAUGACUCCGGGGUGUGUGGGCCCCCCACGCCCCCCAACGUGUGUCUGUAGGAGUGACCUCAGGGUGAGUAUUUCUGGCACAGAAAGGAGUAAUAGUGCCCUGAAAGAAGCACAAAGCCGGAGUCACUGCUGGAAAGAGGGGUUAGGGAGAGAGAAGAUCCAGGUGGGUGGGAAGCAGGGGCGCUGGGGGUGGGUGGUGUCCUGAAGGACAGGCCUGCCGAGUGAGGGGCGGGGUAUUCGUCUCCGGAAGGCGGUUCCAGGCCAAGUCAGAGUGGGAGCAGGAAAACUCCAGCGAUCCAAGCAGCCCAGUUUGGCUGGAGGGAAAUUGCAUGACGGGGAUUCUUGGGCAGCAAACACAGGGUCGUGCUGAGGACGCUGGGGCCGCGCUGAGUACCCCGCCUCUGCCCCCAGCAAAAUGCUCUGUGACCGUGCGAUCCCUUUCUAGGUCGGGGUCUUGGGGGUGUGAAUAUGUGAAGGAUGUGUAUUUAUUGUAAUGAAUUAAGGAAGUUAUAAAAAAUCAGAAAUUCUCAGAUGUGAUCUGACCUCCGUUGACAGCUGAUCUGUUCUGCUCCGGCUUGUGAGCGUUCCCGUCACUCUCCCCACUCUGACCCACGGCCCCAGGUAUGAGACAAGGCCCGCAGAUUUACCACGAUUUAUAUAAUUCUUCUCUUUACAUUCUUUAUGUUUAUUGAAGGCAUAGCAAACAUCUUCCACAAAUAUUUUUCUUAAUUUUUAAGGAAUUUAUUAUUUCCUUAGGGUAGGUAGAGAGGAGGACUUAUUGGGUCAAUCUCUUGAACUUCUUUAGAAGAUGAGUAGGCUCUCUAUUGUUUUUUCAUUAAAACAAAACUGGAAUAUAGUUGAUAAGUAGACCUACAUUAGUCCACAGCCUUCUGAAGGGCUGUCUGCCUGCCAUCUUACUUCCUUCUGUUAUUUCAUUAAUUUUCUCUCAGUGUCCUUUGUCCCCUCCUUAGCCUGUUUCUUAAAUGGUCGGCUCCCCAGACCCCCACCUCCUGGGCUCUCCUCCCUAAAUACACUCUCUCCUCGAUCGCCACUCACAAUAAGCGAGCCUGUGUCAAACGCCUGAUGUGGUCUCACCCUGACCCUGUCACGUGAUGAUCAAUACCUUCGUUUUACAGAUGUGGAAACCCGGAGAGGUAAGUCACUUUCCCAAGGGCAUCACCCCGAAGGCUGUCGGGGACCGUCCCACGUCCAUGAGCCCAGGUCUGCAUGUUCAGCUCCCACCCGCCCAAGCUCUCGAGCAGCGUGUCCUGUCACCCAGCACGCAUUUCCGUCCGGGGUUUCCACUGGCGCCUCAAAGCCCUGUCACCGGAGCUCAGCUCUCCGCUGUCGUGUCCAGCCCUACCCAGCGUUAGUAUGAGUCCCCCGUCCGCCCGUGACAGCUGUCUUUCUUCUACUCCCCCUGCCUCCCCCCGGUUUUGGCAUGGAUUUGAUGUGGCCCACGAUGUCCUCCCGGCCACGGGGAGGUCACUAUUUGAGGACAUGUAGUGUGACUUCCAUGGUUCUCCUGCCUCCCACCAUCCUCCUCACUACCGGCAAGCUGAGCUAACAGCUUUCCAUGACUUGUCACGUUGCCGCCUCUCCUUGAAGAUUUCCAGUGCCCCCCGCCCCCCAGAGUACAGCUCCACUGUCCACGUGGCCCGCCGGUGCGCCACGAUGACCGCCUCCCUCUCCUCGGGCCCUCCCUGCACCCGUGGCCUCCGCUCCGGCUUCCAAACCCAGGGAACCACGUGCAGCCAGGACCGGGGGGGUGGGGGGGGUCCGGGUCAGGUGGCCGAGGCCCCUUGGCCGGGCUCCCUUCUGCUUCCCCUGUGAGCUCCCCACCCCCAGGGUCCAGGCUGACUCCUGUCCUUCCAGCUCAGGCUGGGGUGGCAGGACCACGAGACCCCUUUCCUCCCUUCUCUGUCCUCACUGUCCCCUCCUGCAGGCUCCACUACUCCAUGAAAAGUAUCAGAUUUUAUUUUAAUUGUCUGAUUACCAUUGCAUCUUUCUGUUUCUUUGACUAAAAAUUUGAGGGCAGAGCCUGAGUAAUUUAAUCAUUUUAGGAUUCCUGUGGACUCAGUAGAUGCUUGGUGUUUGCUGAAUAACCUGGGGUGUUUCCUGGCAGCCUCAGUGUGCCCGUGGGCAUCCCACAGCCGUGUGUCUGCCGUAGGGGCCCCUGGACUUACCAGAGGUGGCCUUACAGGAAUAUAGCACCUAAGUCUGUGAGUAAGAAUUCACUGGAAUGUAGUGUUUUGAAUUGUGAAACUACUGCCCGUUUUAAUCAGAUAGCUUUUGCUAGUGACUCUCCCCCAUUGCUCCCCAAAUUUAGUGGCUUAAAACAACUUUAUGUUUAGCUUAUGUUUCUGUGGUCAGAUGACUCUGGUCUGGGCAGCUCAGCUGAUGUCUUCUGGUCUGGCUGCAUAUCUAGAGUCAGAUGACAUCCAGAUAACCCAGGAAGGGCUCGCUGAUAGGUCUGGCUCUCGGCUAGCAAGCCUCGGUGCACCUCCAUGCCGCCUCCCAAGCAGGUUAGCUCGGGCUUCUGCACACGUGGUGUUAGCGCCCCAGAUGCAGCAAAUGUAAACCCUCACAGGGGAAUUAAAGCCACUGCUUGCAACUAAGACACAGGGAUGGGGAAAUAGCCUGCCCUCUGAUGGGAAGGGCUGCUAUAUCACAUUCAGGGGGGAGAUUUUGGGGUCAUUUUUACAAGGACCUGAAUGCACCAGUCCCUGAAUGCAGAAAUUCAAGAGUAUCUGAUAGAUACUAGGCACUUAACAGAUAACCUGGAUUUUUGGAUAAACUAUUGGCCGCAUGUACACGUUUAUGCACUAUACUUAUUUUGCAAAUAGGGCUGAAGCAUGCCUGGGAGAAAUUGUGCCCCUUUCCCAGUUCAUCUUGUUUUUGGAUUCUUGAUACCCAUGUUUAAGAGCAUGUAAGUAUCACAGAGCUAUUAAUCAGAUGUUACCAUCAAUACCUCAGAUGCAAUUUUGGUAAAGGGAGCUAUUGAAGGAUACUGAAUUCACUGAAGGAUCGAAUUAAUUAAGAAGAUGUUCAAAAGCCUGCUGUACUGGACUAGUGCCUGGCAUGGGUAGAAAGCUGCAGAGAGAUGGGUCUGCAUUUUAGAAAUAUCUCAUGCAUGGAGCCAUUCCAUGUCUUUACCGCAUUGUCAUUUCCAAGCAGAAUACCUAACUACUAGACUUAUUUCCUAUUUCUAAAGUUGUUUGCUUUUAAGUGGUUGGGUUCCAAUCAAGUUGCUAACAUGAUUAUCUUAGAGGCAAGCAGCUGGAUUUGGGUCACGUAACAGUGGCAGAGACAGGCAGUGAGGCAAAUGCUGCUGUCGUUGCUGUACACAUUCAUUUCUCUGGGGUUUACCCCUGGGAAAGGAAUUGCUUGGUCAUGAUAAUUCCAUUUCAUCUUUUGAAGAACUUUCAAAAUGUUUUCCAAAGUGGGUGUACCAUUUUCCAUUCCCAUCAGCAGUGUAUAAGAAUUCCAGAUUUUUUCAUAUCCUUACAAUACAUGCUGUUAUAUGUCAGUUUGAUUAUAGCCAAAGAUAGGUUUUAUUAGAGCCAUUUCUCAGAUGAAGGUGCCAAGCAGUUGAGACUGUGGCAGGUACUCUGCGCCCUCAGACACCCCGAGUUCACCUGCCUGUGUCCCCACAGCACUUGACCCCACCUCGCCUCAUAAGUGAAAGAGGAAAACGUGGAAAUUAACUUUUUUUCAGAUACUUCAGUAUUUUUUUCCUGAAUUAGUUGGCAAUUGAAUAUUUUGUAUAGUGGGUUUUUGUAAAUGUCUGAUAGUCCUUCUAUUAAAUAUAUGUUUGAUUUAAUUCUGCUUCCUCACCAUCAAAAUUUACAUCCCGGGCAGAUUUGUGUACAGUGCAGGUGAUCAAAUGUGGUAAGCAACCAGUGAAAUGUCCCCAAAUUUCAGAAUUUCUUUACUGUCAAGAUGAUAAUUCUGAACCAGAAAGAAGUAUAAACAAACAAACUCACGUGGAGAGGUUUGUUCCUGGCACUCACAUCCAUGACCUUGCCUAAUACUCAUCUUUAGAUCUUUAAAAAUUUAAGCACAGGUGCCCUGGCCUCAUCCUAGACAAGUGAGUUGGACUCUUUAUGGGUGGCUCCGGGGUGUCACUCACAAAAGCUCACAGGGUGCUUCUUAGGCUCAGCUGAGGUUGAGAACCAGUGGCUUAUGUGGCCAAAAUGACUGGCAGUAUGACGAUGUUCCUGAGAGAAGGGACUGGUGGGCCCACCCGGGCAUCCGGUCUGAUCACCCUCAGGUCUGUUGUGGAGGGUGGGUAUGCAGGUAAUACUGAUGAGGGAUUGCGUGAAGUGUUUGUUUCAAGUCUGUGAGCCCUUCUAGAAAUAGUAUUCCUAUGUUGGGACUUCAUUUCCCCUGCAACUUGUAAUUUUUCCCCCAUUUUUAUGUUGUUUUGUAUUUGUAACCAAAGUAUAUCCAUGGCUUUAUAUCUUCUAGCUUUGUGUUCAUUAUAUAGUGUGUGUAUAGGACAGGCCAGAAGCAUUCUCCCUUACACUAUUUAUAUAACAUAAUUCUGUGCACAUAAUACAACUUAGAGCUCAGCUGGUGUGACCCUGUCAUUAUAGACGUGAACAACCUGAGGGCCAGAGGCUUGAAGGUCGGGGUCUUGCAUAGCAAGGUCAGGACUAGAAAUUGUAACCCUGGCCAACAGCUCUCUGUCCCAACCAGUUUGUAUCCAGGCCACUGAUUAUAUAUGUAUGGAGGGAUAGAAUUGAUAACAGAACUGUUAUUGAUUGUAUCAGUUAAGAUUCACUCCACUUGCUGUUUUGAACAUAUCAAACCUAGAGAAAAGUUGAAGGAAUAAUACAAUGAACACCUGUUAUCCCUUUUAUCACGACUGACUGGUCACCAUUUCGUUACAUCAGCUUUCUCUCUCUGUUUCUCUCUGUUUUCUAAACCAUUUCAAAGUAAGAUGCAGACAUGAUGGCACUUUACAUUUAAGUAACUCCUAAGAUUGAGGAUAUUUUCUGUGUAACCAUAGCAUAAUCAUCACACUAAAGAAAUUUAACAUUGAUAAGAGACUCUUAUCUAGUGUACAGUCUAUAGCAUUUCCCCCAAGUAUCCUGUUAAUGUUCUUUUUAGCUUAAAAAAACCACCAAACCGAGGAUGUCGUUGAAGUUCAGUGAUCCCAUCUAGUUUUCACGUCUUUCGUGUCCUUGAAUCAAGAAGCCCGCCCGCCCUGCCCUUAUUUUGGACUUUCCUGACUUGACGUUUGUGAAGAAUCCAGAAUAGCUAUCCUGCCACAUGUCCCUCAGCUUGUGGUUUCCUCGUGGGUAGAUUCGGAUCAUACAUUCCUGUUGAGAAACCACAGAGGUGAUGUGGGGUCCGUCGGUGCGUCACGUCAGAUGCCAGUACGAGGCCUGACCACUUGGCUUCGGGGCAUUCGCCAGGUUUCUUCACUGCAGAGGUCACUGUCCCCUUUGUAAUUAAUAAAUAAUCUGUUGGAGGAUUUUGUGUGAAUAGAGUGUGUGUGAAUAGCCUUUCCCCCAGUGACCUUCCUCCCCAUGGUGGUCUCGUCCUGACCCUUGCUGGAGCCGAUUCUUCCUGCUGGUGGGGGCUGCAGAUCGGUGGGGGUUUUCUGGUAGAUCAUUGCUUCUACAAUUAUUUAUGGCAGGCUGGUUAUCAUAACCAAGUAAAGAUAAUUCAGGAAUUUUCCGAACCUGCGAAUUGCUGAUACGCUUAAGUUAAGCAUCUUGAGAUGAGAUUGCUCAGGUGGGCGUUCAAUCCGAGGACAAGUGUCUCAGGCCAAGGGAGGUGCGGGGCACACAGGCGCCCACUCCGAGCAGGCAGUGCGGCCCCCCCCCCCACAGAGAUGGGACUUGGCUGCGGGACGGGGUGGCCGGGAAGCUGCCUGCCCGCAGAGCUGUGGCGCAGCACCCACCGUUCUCCCCUGGAAAUGGGGGGCGCGGCCUGCAGGCAGCUCUGGAAGAAGACAUUUCUGUGGUGCUGAGGCUCUUGGUUUGUAGUAGUUUGUAAUGGCAGCCACAGGAAACUAAUGCAAAGCUCAAGAGGGUUUUUUGUCUUGUUUUUAACACGGGAGAAGUGUUGGCUGGUUUGAGGGCCACUAGGAGAGAGUCUGGGGAGAGGGAAAGCGAGUAGGUGGUGGGGUGGCACUGGAGGCCCCGGGGCAGGGUCUGGCUUUAGAGGGGGCUGGAGAGUCCCACCACAGGAGCGGCAGGGGGGCCAGGAAGGGCAGUAUGGCGCGGUUCCUAGAGGCGAUGGCGGCGACUUGAGCUGCCCCCUCCCACGGCCUUGACUUCCCAGUGAUGCGAGAAGGGAGACUUCUGGUUGCGCCUGGGGACGCAGGACUAGGGGAUGGGUGCUUGCUGAGAGGGGGGAGGCGGUAGUUGGGGUUUGGGUCACCUGGAUCAUAACGGCAGCGCCGGGCGCCGCUUUGCUUAGGUGGAGCCCGCAGACAGAACUGCCUUGAAAGGCUGGACGAUGCUCCUUGAACAUUCGUUUUAUCACCUUUUUCUGGGCACCGUCUUGCCGGCUGAAGAUUCAGGGGCUCAAGUAGUUCCAGAAACCACUCCCUUCCUGAAGCCCUUCGGGCCUAGGAACCAGCCCCGGGGAGGCUACUUCUCCUUUGGAUUCCCUGCACCCUGUCUACCUGCACAGACCGCCUCUUUUCAACCCUGCUUGUGUUACCUGGACGGGAGAAUGCCGUCUAUAUCCCAGGCUGGCACACUGAAUUGAUAGGAAACUUGGAUUCCUUAGAAUUUUCCAGAGUGUUCCACCCUGAGCAUUACUAGUAUACCAUGGCUGGACUUCAGAUAACAACACAUGUCCCAAGAUAUUUGUAUACUCGAUCGCUCCUGCGGUACCUAAGCACCAUGUCCUUCAAGUGCCUGUGGAAAGACGGCCUUACCUGAUUUUUCUACCUUGAUACAGCCAGGAGGCCACAAUUCUGAUUAUUAGUGCAGAGAGAAGUUCAAAUUUUUUAAAUUUAGGCUAAAAGUCCUCUGUAUAGUCUUUACUGCUGAAUAGCUUCCAGACAUGUCACCUGUCAGGUUUUGCUAAAUAUAGGAUAUGUGUACGCAAUUGUGAAACAGAAUUCCAUGCUGACGCUGGAAUCUAAGAGAUUUUUUUUUCCUGUUUAUCAUUUUCAAAUGAGAACCGUGCCAUAAGGACAUUUCCAAGGACACGACCAGAGCUUUGACUGGGCGUGACAGUCCCCAGACUUGGCUGUUUUGUGCCUGCGGUUGAGUAUGCAGCACUAAGCCUUGCCCAGCAGCCUCCUCUGCUCAGUGUGCAAAGCAUGUGCGGUGAGCACUCCAGAUAAACUGUACUGACAUGUAAGUGUGAGGCUACUGGCUGGGGAGGCAGAAUGCACACUGGGCGGGCAUCAGCAAGGUCUCCAUGCUCCUGGCAAAGGCGUAUUUGGGAGACAACGGAAUAGGGUUCAAACAUCCGUACAACACCUGCUGUGUGCCAGGCACUGUUCUCCGAUGCCUCCGUGUCUCUCGUUCUCAUUUCCCAUCACUGAAACUGAGGCCUCGAGGAGUUAAGCACGGGUGAGGAUCCGGACCUGACUCUUACCUGGUUGGUCUCCUUCCCAGGUGCUCCGCAGAGCACAGGGCUUGGCAAUGGGACCUGGAUUGGUGACCUGCUUUCUCCAUUUACUGGCUGUGAGACUUCAGGACUGUCACUUGACUGGCCUCCCUAUGGCUUUCCCUGUCUCCUCCGGGUGGACGGCCAGUGGGUUAAAUGUGAUCCUGUGCAUGACUGCAUGGAGCCCCUGGCCUCUCUGAAAUAACCUCCUGGGCUGUUUCAUUAUCCUGCUUAUUUCCUCUAUAGCAGCACCCACCCUGGAGUUACCUUGCUGAUUGCCUGGGUCUCCCUCUCUGGACACGGGAUUCCUAAAGGCAGCCACUCGGCUGCUUUCUCUGCCCUGCCAUCUCCUCAGCGGGCUCAGCACAGUCCCUGGCAAGCAGUGCACCCUCUAGGAGUUGUCUCCCUACUUCCCCAUCUACUGUCUCUUACAUCUCCUCAGGCAGCGGCCGGCUUUAUGUUGGGUCAGAUCCAGCGGUUGCCUGUUUUUAUAUGAUCUGUGAACUAAGAAUGAUGUUUGCAUCUUUAAAUGUUGAAAGAAAUUCAAGGAAUUUGUCAUCUGUGCAAA